AUUUUUCUAGUAUAAAUAGUACAUUUAACUUCCAAUUAAAAAGAUUGACUUAUAGUCAAGAAAAAUA
rnacentral:tRNA from 1 species